rnacentral:lncRNA from 1 species
ACUCUAUCUGUCUCCACUGCCAACAAGUUAUAUAUCCAGACCCGACUUCACUUUCUCCCAGUAGAAACUCCUGCCCACAAGAAAAGAUAGAAAACUCAGAAUCUCUUCCAAAUUAAAGUGUAAAAACGUUGAUAGACAUUGAAAGUUGCUGAUAGACAUUGGAAGUUAUUUCUAAAGUAAGUUGCUUUUCAAGAAUCUAGACUCAUGCUAAAGAAAGAUGUGGAAUUUGGGCAUCACCAGGUAAAAUUUAAGAAGAAACCAGGUGGACUGGAGACAUUUCCUUCUCAUGCUAGAAGAACCCAGAAAUGCGUACUCAGGAAGAAUGCAAUGGAGAAUGGAAAACUGCCUGGAUUAAUGCCUGCCACUUCCGAAGGGAUGCUUCCUGCUGUGACAGAAGGUAUCACAGACAGAGGCUUAACCCAUCAGUACCUUUAUUGCUCGUUUAAUAAGACAUUUGAAUGUAGCAAGGCCCUGCUGGUCUGGAGAAUCCAUGACAUCACCACAGACCC